CCACUGAGCUGGACGUUGAAAGGCAAAAAUAAACAAGACAUAAUCUCUCAUACAAUAAAGCAGGAAGGGAAGGAUAUACACAAAAUACGUGCUAUAGGUUUUAUAGGAACUAUGUAAGAAGUAUAUACAGGGUAUGAUGGGAUACAAGGAGGGAGUUACAAAAGACUUCACACUGGAAUUAGGUUUUAAAAUAUAAAACAGUGUUGGCAAUUAAAGAAGUGGGUGGAGAGAAUGUAGAAUGUCCAACAACAUGGCAUGUUUUGGAACCCACAAACUUUCAGUGUGACUAGAACAGAGGUCAUAAGAGGAUUCAAGACUAGAAACAAGGUUAAUCUGGAAAUGGUAUCGAGAGUAGACUGUAAUGAGACCAGACUGGUGGCAGGAAGACAAUUGCAGCUGCCCGGUGACAGAAGAGCAAAAGCCGAAUUAAGGCACCCUCUAUGGACCAGAGAACAACCUCUAGGAGUUGAGAGCAGUCCCUGGCUGAUACCAAGAAAACAAGACUUCAGUUCUAAAGCUGCAGAGGAAUGAAAUCUGCCAAUAAAAGGAAUGAUCUUGGAAGAGGACUAUGAGCUCCAGUGAAUUCUUCCAGAAGCAAGACCAGUGCCCUUGAUGACAAAAAAGAGCAAGAUACAAAGUAGUAAAUGAUACUGCAACUGGCUUAGUUUGUGUCUCCUAAGAAGAGAAAAAGGCUAGAUACCUUCUCAUCUCUAGGAAAUUACCUUUCAGAGUAAAGAAAAAUUAAUUUCAAUGAAAAACUACAUGUUAACUCUUUUAAAAUAGAGAGCUACCAAAACUAGCUUGAGAGUUUAAAUUAAAAUUAUGAAUGCUAACUUAGUAAGAGCUGUGUAUCUGUUACCAAGUUCAUAUCAUUUGAGAGCAGAGAUACAGAGCAGUAUCUACAAGCCCCCCCACUCACGUUUUUUUUGAGACAGGGUCUCACUCUGUCACCUAGGCUGAAGUGCAGCAGCAUGAUUUGGG
rnacentral:lncRNA from 1 species